GACGAACGCUGGCGGCGUGCUUAACACAUGCAAGUCGAACGGAAAGGCCCUGCUUUUGUGGGGUGCUCGAGUGGCGAACGGGUGAGUAACACGUGAGUAACCUGCCCUUGACUUUGGGAUAACUUCAGGAAACUGGGGCUAAUACCGGAUAGGAGCUCCUGCUGCAUGGUGGGGGUUGGAAAGUUUCGGCGGUUGGGGAUGGACUCGCGGCUUAUCAGCUUGUUGGUGGGGUAGUGGCUUACCAAGGCUUUGACGGGUAGCCGGCCUGAGAGGGUGACCGGCAACAUUGGGACUGAGAUACGGCCCAGACUCCUCCGGGAGGCAGCGGUGGGGAAUAUUGCACAAUGGGCGGAAGCCUGAUGAAGCAACGCGGCGUGCGGGAUAACGGCCUUCGGGUUGUAACCCGCUUUCGCCUGUGACGAAGCGUGAGUGACGGUAAUGGGUAAAGAAGCACCGGCUAACUACGUG
rnacentral:rRNA from 1 species